UACGUAGGGUGCGAGCGUUGUCCGGAAUUAUUGGGCGUAAAGGGCUCGUAGGCGGUUUGUCGCGUCGGGAGUGAAAACCAGGUGCUUAACACCUGGCUUGCUUUCGAUACGGGCAGACUAGAGGUAUUCGAGGGGAGAACGGAAUUCCUGGUGUAGCGGUGAAAUGCGCAGAUAUCAGGAGGAACACCGGUGGCGAAGGCGGGAUCCUGGGCCAGUACUGACGGCUGGACGGAGCGAAAGCGUGGGGAGCAAACAGGGAUUAAGAAACCCCGAGGUACAGUCCGAGAACCAAACG
rnacentral:rRNA from 1 species